rnacentral:rRNA from 1 species
UACGUAGGGGGCAAGCGUUGUCCGGAAUCAUUGGGCGUAAAGCGCGCGUAGGCGGCUCGAUCAGUCUGCUGUGAAAGUCAAAGGCUCAACCUUUGAAUGCCGGUGGAUACUGUCGAGCUAGAGUCCGGAAGAGGCGAGUGGAAUUCCUGGUGUAGCGGUGGAAUGCGCAGAUAUCAGGAGGAACACCAACGGCGAAGGCAGCUCGCUGGGACGGUACUGACGCUAAGGCGCGAAAGCGUGGGAGCGAACGAGG